GGUCAAGUGAAGAAGCGCAUACGGUGGAUGCCUUGGCAGUCAGAGGCGAUGAAAGACGUGGUAGCCUGCGAUAAGCUUUGGGGAGUCGGCAAACAGACUGUGAUCCAGAGAUCUCUGAAUGGGGGAACCCACUCAGCACAAGCUGAGUAUCUUGUACUGAAUACAUAGGUGCAAGAGGCGAACCAGGGGAACUGAAACAUCUAAGUACCCUGAGGAAAAGAAAUCAACCGAGAUUCCCUUAGUAGUGGCGAGCGAACGGGGACCAGCCCUUAAGUUGGUUUGAGAUUAGUGGAACGCUCUGGAAAGUGCGGCCAUAGUGGGUGAUAGCCCCGUACACGAAAAUCUCUUGUCAAUGAAAUCGAGUAGGACGGAGCACGAGAAACUUUGUCUGAACAUGGGGGGACCAUCCUCCAAGGCUAAAUACUACUGACUGACCGAUAGUGAACCAGUACCGUGAGGGAAAGGCGAAAAGAACCCCGGAGAGGGGAGUGAAAUAGAACCUGAAACCGUAUGCGUACAAGCAGUGGGAGCCUACUUUGUUAGGUGACUGCGUACCUUUUGUAUAAUGGGUCAGCGACUUAUAUUCAGUGGCGAGCUUAACCGAAUAGGGGAGGCGUAGCGAAAGCGAGUCUUAAUAGGGCGUUUAGUCGCUGGGUAUAGACCCGAAACCGGGCGAUCUAUCCAUGGGCAGGUUGAAGGUUAGGUAACACUGACUGGAGGACCGAACCGACUACCGUUGAAAAGUUAGCGGAUGACCUGUGGAUCGGAGUGAAAGGCUAAUCAAGCUCGGAGAUAGCUGGUUCUCCUCGAAAGCUAUUUAGGUAGCGCCUCAUGUAUCACUGUAGGGGGUAGAGCACUGUUUCGGCUAGGGGGUCAUCCCGACUUACCAAACCGAUGCAAACUCCGAAUACCUACAAGUGCCGAGCAUGGGAGACACACGGCGGGUGCUAACGUCCGUCGUGAAAAGGGAAACAACCCAGACCGUCAGCUAAGGUCCCAAAGUCAUGGUUAAGUGGGAAACGAUGUGGGAAGGCUUAGACAGCUAGGAGGUUGGCUUAGAAGCAGCCAUCCUUUAAAGAAAGCGUAAUAGCUCACUAGUCGAGUCGGCCUGCGCGGAAGAUGUAACGGGGCUCAAACCAUGCACCGAAGCUACGGGUAUCACCUUUGGUGAUGCGGUAGAGGAGCGUUCUGUAAGCCUGUGAAGGUGAGUUGAGAAGCUUGCUGGAGGUAUCAGAAGUGCGAAUGCUGACAUGAGUAACGACAAUGCGAGUGAAAAACUCGCACGCCGAAAGACCAAGGUUUCCUGCGCAACGUUAAUCGACGCAGGGUUAGUCGGUCCCUAAGGCGAGGCUGAAAAGCGUAGUCGAUGGAAAACAGGUUAAUAUUCCUGUACUUCCAGUUAUUGCGAUGGAGGGACGGAGAAGGCUAGGCCAGCUUGGCGUUGGUUGUCCAAGUUUAAGGUGGUAGGCUGAGAUCUUAGGCAAAUCCGGGAUCUCAAGGCCGAGAGCUGAUGACGAGUUGCCCUUAGGCGACGAAGUGGUUGAUGCCAUGCUUCCAAGAAAAGCUCCUAAGCUUCAGAUAACUGGGAACCGUACCCCAAACCGACACAGGUGGUUAGGUAGAGAAUACCAAGGCGCUUGAGAGAACUCGGGUGAAGGAACUAGGCAAAAUGGCACCGUAACUUCGGGAGAAGGUGCGCCGGUGAGGGUGAAGGACUUGCUCCGUAAGCCCAUGCCGGUCGAAGAUACCAGGCCGCUGCGACUGUUUAUUAAAAACACAGCACUCUGCAAACACGAAAGUGGACGUAUAGGGUGUGACGCCUGCCCGGUGCCGGAAGGUUAAUUGAUGGGGUUAGCGCAAGCGAAGCUCUUGAUCGAAGCCCCGGUAAACGGCGGCCGUAACUAUAACGGUCCUAAGGUAGCGAAAUUCCUUGUCGGGUAAGUUCCGACCUGCACGAAU
rnacentral:rRNA from 1 species